rnacentral:rRNA from 1 species
AUUGAACGCUGGCGGCGUGCUUAACACAUGCAAGUCGAUCGGUAACGCGGGGGCAACCCUGGCGACGAGAGGCGGACGGGUGAGGAACGCUUGGGAAUCUGCCCUUCAGCGGGGGACAACACGGGGAAACUCGUGCUAAUACCGCAUACGCUCCACGGAGGAAAGCCGGGGACCGCAAGGCCUGGCACUGAAGGAUGAGCCCAAGUCGGAUUAGCUAGUUGGCGGGGUAACUGCCCACCAAGGCGACGCUCCGUAGCUGGUCUGAGAGGACGAGCAGCCACACUGGGACUGAGACACGGCCCAGACUCCUACGGGAGGCAGCAGUGGGGAAUAUUGGACAAUGGGGGAAACCCUGAUCCAGCGACGCCGCGUGGGUGAAGAAGGCCUGCGGGUUGUAAAGCCCUUUCGGUAGGGACGAAAGCUCUCGACCUAACACGUCGGGAGGUUGACUUAACCUACAAAAGAAGCACCGGCUAACUCUGUGCCAGCCGCCGCAGUAA